UAGGCCAGAGUCAACGUGAAAGACAUGACAUGAUUAUGGAACGUUCCUGAUUGCAGAGCAGCACAUGUGUCUUUGAAGAAAGAGCUGCUUCCUUCCCCUCACAGUCUGACGUCAGAGGAGACGCCACGCCUCUCUGGACGGCAAGCGAUGACAAGUUCUGACGAUGUGGGCCCGUGAGCACGGGGGUCUACCCCGACUAGUUCCAAAGUGCAGAUGGAAUGGGUGUGCGCCCCAUCGGCGUCCGCGGGUUUUCACGGUGGCCUGGUGUGUGAGCGUGUCACCCUCAUCUUCAUGCCUCCUCAUUAUCAGAAAUAUAACCAAUGGAUCGGAAUUCCAGAGUCUCUAUCAAGUCUCAUGGCUUCACUUUGGGUUUGGAGGCAGGGCCCGGACCCUGGUGGAUGGAAUCGUUGUCUCUAUAUCCAUCACUCUGCCUUCUGUCCUCACCCUUGCCACGGCCUCGCUGUGGGUGGAGCGUAACCCCUUGACUCUGGGUUCUGCCAUGUGACAUCCUUGGGCCAGUGAUACAUGGAUGGAAGUGAGGGGUUGCCAGUUCCAAGCUCAAGUCUUGAGAGCCCUUGGAUUUUCUGCUUUUUCCCUGUGUGUCAGAGAAGACCUUCUAGGUCUCUGGGCCCUGAGGUUUAUACUUGGGGGGGCAGAGAUGAGCCAAGCCUCAGCGAGGGCCAAGAUAAGCUACGCCCAAAGCUUGAGACGGAGCCUGAACCAACCAGCGUCCGGCUGACGUGCAGACCCACAGACCUGCAGGUGCAUGGGUGACACGAGUGACGACUACUAAGAUUUGGGGUGGUUUAUUGUAUAGCAUGGCUGCAGCAACCAUUAACCGAUACACUUAUUUCCUAAUGGAAAGCCACAGUAUGUUGACCUUGGACACCAGUCAUGGCUGGGACACAGGAAGCACCCAAGCAGAGAGGCCACUCUUGCUCUGACUUGAGGGCUGGGAUCUGCAUGAAGGAGAAAGUGUGUGACUCAAUUAAGAUACAAUUAAGAUCCUCCUCCACGGUCUCCCUUUUAUCUACUGUCCUCAUUAUCCUGCUUCCUUUUCUUCUCACCGUGGGACUGGUGCUGUUGUUGCAUGCUGAUGAGUUUGUCUGUGGCCCAACUUCUGAACUAGAGAUAUCUGGCUCUGAGAAAAAAGAAAACAGCCCCCAUGUUGUGAGCUAUGCUAUGGAGAGGCCCACGUGGGGAAGAGGCUAGUGAGGAAUUCUGAGUCAGAGGCACCAAGGGGCACCCAGCUAAGGUGUGCCAGAUUCCUGACCAAUAGGCAUGCCACAGAUCACAAAGAAGUGUAAGUGGUGGCAGUCUGAGGCCUGCCAGCAGCCAUCAAUGUCAAGGAGCCACAUUGGAAACAGACCAUUCAGCCCCGGUCAGGCCUUCAACUGAUUGCAACCCCGGCUGACAUCUUGACUGCAAAAUCAUGAGCAACCUGGAGCCAGAAGCACCGAUUCAAGCUUCCUCUGAAUUCCUGACCAGCAGAAAUUGUGAGCGAAUGCUGCACCUGCCAGCCCAUGCAGACUUGGAGCUCUGCUCACUCGCUGAGGCUCACAGUGAACGGUCACGGCUGCCCUCAAGGCGUUCCCUAGACCCCAAGACCACUUGGAUUUCCAGCUCGCCUCCAUAUGUUCGCAUGCCUUUCAGAGUGACCCGUUUUGGUACAAGUAUCCACAUCUGUUUCAACCAUCUGUGGCCAAAGGCAAAAUCACAUUGUAUAAUGAACUGCCCCUUAAAGAUUUUGAGUGGGACAGUUUCUUCUUGUUGAAGUAUGAAAGAGAAGAAAAUGAUUGCACAUACAUCUUGAGUCCCCCGAAAGGCCGAACAUGCCUCUAGAGUCAGGAGGGCAUUCAUGGGGUUGAUUCUGGAGACAGCAGCAUUUCAAGGCCUCACAACCUUCUAGGUAGGCGGGCUAUGUGGUUUCCAUAGAAGACAUCUGAGUCAAUACUAAUGUCUAUUGGGAGCCUACUUUUAUUAGGAAGGCAUUUAUUUAUUCAUUACUGAGGAAACCCAACAAUUUCCUAUAGUUCCAUUCUGAUUUUAAUUAGAAUAUUAAUCAGCUAUGCUCUGCACAAUUUUGGCUAAAAAUCCACAAUGCAAUAUACUAAAAUUCCUAGGAACAGAGCCAAUUUAAUUUGUAUUAGAUAUUUUGCCCCGGGUUAGCAUUAGGAACUUAUUAUUGCAUGUCUCAUGCAGCUAUUAUUAUUAUAAAUGUGCGUAUUGUGCAAAUUAAAAUCAUAUUUUAUUCAGGGAAAAACCUCUCUGUUUGCUUGAUUCCUAGUGACUGUGUUUCUGUUCCUGAGAGAAUUCAGUACUUGUGACAUCUCUCAUGGUAGGUCUAGCAAGGAAAUGCCUUUGGGAUGUUCAGCCACUUACCGCUUCUGGAAGGACAUAGUUUACCCACCGUUUCAAUGGCUGCACUGAGGACACAGAGGAGGACCAGAUGAUGGCAAGCACUGUGUCUUUGUUCAAGGAGCUUUCAGCACCUACGAUAAUGUAUGACAGAUAUAAUGGGGAAGUACAGGAUGCUAUGAUAUACUCUGUGGGGGGCCUUAGCCUUGUUGAGGGAGUCAGGAAAGACCCUCCAAGAGGCUAGGAUGUGCAAUCCAAUUACUUAACCUGACAAUUAAGCAGAAGUUAAAAAGGGGAGGAUGGGGUAGGGUAUGAGAAGAGUGAACCAAAGUUCAGUGUGGCUGUACUAUAGAGGGUGCAGUGAGGAUUGGCAAGACCAGAACUGGAGAACUAGAGUGGGGUCAGGUAAUGGAGAAUGUUGAAGCCACGGUAUGGAAUUUACCAUAAGGAGCAAUGGGAAGCCAAUGAGGCCCUUGGUAGAAGAGUAGUAUGAGGAGGUCUGCAUUUUAGUAGAAUCCCUCUAGCUAAGAAGUGGAGCAUGGGUUGGAAGAAAAUAACAGUAGAAGCAAAGACAUUAGUUAGGAAAUCAUUUCCAUCAUGCAGACAGAAGAAGAUCAUGGGAGGAUCUGGUCUAUGGGAGUAUCUGUGGAAAUGGAGUGAAGUGGAUGGAUCAUUCAGGAGGUGAAAUUGAUAGGUGGUGACGAUGACUUAGAUAGGCAAGUGAGAAGAGUGACGGACCAAGGCAGAAUUCCGGGUUUGCUUGAAACAUCUUGGUGGAUGAUGGUGACAGUUACUGAGAUGAGAAAUAUGGAAGGAAAAGCAUUUUUAUUUUGGGGGGGCAGGUGCUGGGGAGAGGAAAGGGGAUGAGUUCAAAUUUGAACAUGUUGAGUCUGAAGGCCUGGAAGAUCCAUAGGUGGUGCUGUCUUGGAGGUGAGUGGAUACACGGGGCUGCUUUUCAGGAAAAGAGACCUGGAGGGAGAUAAAGACUGAGAAAUCUCAACACAGGGAUGGUCUUUGAAGCUAUGGAUUUUGUUGGCGUAUUCCAGGAAAGCAUAUCCCUUGAGAAAAGAAGAUGCAAGACCGAGCCUUGAGCAACAACCUGAGGGCAGGGAAAAGAAGAGCAUGCAAAGGAGACUGAGAAGAAGGGUGAAGAGUGGCUGGAGAGAAACCAGGAAGCACUGGAACCACCUGUGCUUAGAGAAAUGUGUCGGGGACCCGAGAGGGCAGUCAACAGUUUCAAAUGCUGCUAAGGACUCAAAUAAGAUGGUGCCCCAGAGAGCUGAACUCAGUCCCAUAUGGCUACAACCUCAGAGUACAGUAGCCAAAGGUCUUAGCCCCCAUUCACCCCUGCAUACUUACAUUCAACUUCUUGUCCUUCUUCUCUCUUUUUGAGCUUACAUAUAUUUUCAUAAUGAAAAGAAACAUAUCCAGUAUCAAUAAAUGUUCAGUGUAGUGAGUGGGUUUCCACUUGAACUCUUUGUCAUUUUGAUUAGAAAUCUUCAUCUAGAGAUAUAUAAUCAUUGCUUUUCUGUGCUCACUGUGUUCACCGUCACAUAAAUGUUCAUAUUUAUUUGGUAGCUGCAUUAAAGUAGCUGUUCUCAGAUGAGGUCCCUGGUACAAAAUCAAUAACCUCACCUGAUGUGAUAAGCGGAAUUCCAAGAUGGCCCCUACAUUCCUGACUCCCCGGUGUACAUGCUCUCUAUAAUUCCCUCCCUUUGAGUGUGACUGGCACUUCUAAAUAUAAUGAGAUAUCCCUUCCACGAUUAUGUUAAUAAGAAAAAGGGAUUUUUCAGAUAUAAUUAUGGUAUCUAGUCAGUCAACUUUGAGUUGAUCAGAAGGGGGAUUAUUUGGAUGGGCCUGACAUAAUCAAUUAAGUCCUUUGGAGCAUCUGGGUGUCUCAG